CCUACGGGCGGCAGCAGUGGGGAAUAUUGGGCAAUGGACGCAAGUCUGACCCAGCAACGCCGCGUGAAGGAAGAAGGCUUUCGGGUUGUAAACUUCCUUUAAGGGGGAAGAGCAGAAGACGGUACCCCUUGAAUAAGCCACGGCGAACUACGUGCCAGCAGCCGCGGUGAUACGUAGGUGGCAAGCGUUGUCCGGAUUUACUGGGGGUAAAGGGCGUGCAGCCGGAGAGACAAGUCAGAUGUGAAAUCCACGGGCUCAACCCGUGAACUGCAUUUGAAACUGUUUCCCUUGAGUGUCGGAGAAGUAAUCGGAAUGCCUAGUGUAGCGGUGAAAUGCAUAGAUAUUAGGAAGAACACCAGUGGCGAAGGCGGAUUACUGGACGAUAACUGACGGUGAGGCGCGAAAGCGUGGGGAGCGAACAGGAUUAGAUACCCGGGUAGUC
rnacentral:rRNA from 1 species